UAGAAUAUACCAUAGGGUAUACUUGAGCUAUAACCACCUGUGGGGGUACCACAGGCAUGUCGUCUUGGCACGAGAGACAUGACACUUUUCGUGGCGGUGUGAUUAGUCCACGGCGUCUCCGUUUUGGGCUCCGGAGGAAGUGGGCCAUUUGGUGUUUUGUUGUGGGAGGCGUAUGGGUUAACCCUAGUUUUCUGUUCUGCAGAUUGGUGAUGUUGUGCCAAACACACCUAUCCGAUUUGCAUACAUUUGGAUUCGCGGUCCAAUGUGUGAUUUGCCUGUGUGGCAUUAUUUUGAUUUGCCUGUGUGGCAUUAUUUUGA
rnacentral:lncRNA from 1 species